CGCUGGCGGCGUGCUUCAUACAUGCAAGUCGAACGAGAAACUUACUUCGGUAAGUGGAAAGUGGCGGACGGGUGAGUAAUAUGUAGAGAAUCUGCCUUCAAGCGGGGGAUAGCAGUUGGAAACGACUAUUAAUACCCCAUAUGAGCGUAACUGAAAUGUUAUUCUUGAAAACUCCGGUGCUUGGAGAUGAGUCUGCAUCUGAUUAGCUAGUUGGGGGUGUAAUGGACCACCAAGGCGACGAUCAGUAGCUGGUUUGAGAGGAUGAUCAGCCACAAUGGGACUGAGACACGGCCCAUACUCC
rnacentral:rRNA from 1 species